AGAGAGAGAGAGAAGCACUGUCUCGUCGUAACCUAGCGGAGCCGUUUGGUUGCUGCUGCUGCUGUUUGAUCGAAGUGGGAGAGGUGAAAGUUUGUGUGCCGCAGAGCAAUCGGAGUCUGCACUAACUUGGAAUCGGUCUGUUCGUAACCUAGCGGAACCGUCUCUUUAUGCCGUCGCUACUGCUGUUUGAUCGGAGUGGGAGAGAAGGAAGUUUGUGUGCCGCAGAGCAAUCGGAGUCUUCACUGAAUUGUGAAUAAGGUGUCGCAUGAUCAACCUUACUAUUUUCCUUUUAUAGUGGGCACACAAGACAGUAUGUAUGUACCGGCAUGGGUUAGCAUAAUGGAAACGCCAGACAAUAUUGGAAGCACAUCAGGAAUGGUCAACAAUAUAAACAGUCAAAGUUCUAUAGUACCAUCAAAAUUUGUUGACUUGAAUAUAGAUGUGGAUCUAAAUGCCCCAUUUUAUUUUUAGUUUUGCACUAUUAAUUGUUGGCCAUUGUUUGGCCCUUUGUGUUUUUGGUUAAUCAUGGAUGAUUUGUAAUUUGUGGUUUGCUAAACUUGUAUGAAUUCUGAGAGUGUUGCCUCCUUUGUAAGAAUAUUUGAAUAGUGGUUUCCUAAAUUUGUGAUUUGCUAAAGAUUUGAUAAUGCUGCCUGUUGCCUCAUUUGUAUG